UACGUAGGGGGCAAGCGUUGUCCGGAUUUAUUGGGCGUAAAGAGCGUGUAGGCGGCCGUACAGGUCAGCUGUGAAAACUCGAGGCUCAACCUCGAGACGUCGGUUGAAACCGUACGGCUAGAGUCCGGAAGAGGAGAGUGGAAUUCCCGGUGUAGCGGUGAAAUGCGCAGAUAUCGGGAAGAACACCCGUGGCGAAGGCGGCUCUCUGGGACGGUACUGACGCGUGAGACGCGAAAGCGUGGGGAGCGAACGAGG
rnacentral:rRNA from 1 species